UUCACCAGUUUCUCUGCACGAAUACCGAGAGAAACCGAGCGGCGUUCUUCGUGUUCUUCAUAAUCAAACGUGGAUUUGAAGGCGUUAUUGGAGUCAGAAUCAAGCGUGCGAAUAGUCAAAUCGAAGAUAUCGAAGAGUAGAAUCUAUAUCUGCAAUCAAAAACAACCUGAGAUUCACAGGAUUGGACGAGACGUGGAUGACCGAAGACGUUCAGAAGGACAAGUGGUGUUCCAAAGCGAAUAAAGAAUGAGUCGAGUAAGCGAAGUGCUGUGGCGAAUAGAGUAUAGCUAGAGAUGGUCUAGAGAUUAUAAGAUGCAUAUAUUGUGAAAGUGGAAAGUUGAGAAUGAGCUGUGAGACGGGAGUCAGAUUUAAGGCAAGUAUCCUAUACCCUUCUUUUGGAUAUCUUGCGAUUAUUCUGAUCCAUUAUUCUCGUAUGUGUUGCAAAUAUUCGUUCCUCUCUUUUUCAUAUUUGGCAAGUGCAAAUAUUUUUAUCCAUCCUUUUCUAAUCCUCAAAAAUUCAGAUAAUUCCAGUUUUACAAAUUAAUUCGAAGUUCAGAUUGUCAUUGAAGCAUGUGUUGCUCAGUGAUGAUUAGAACCUAGAAUGACUUGGGAUCUUCUUGAUUAUUCAACCCGCCAUUGUCAUGCUGGUUUAGCAGGCUAAAUUCAGUUGCUUAGCCGAUAAUGGAGGAUACUGAAUAGUUAAGGAUUUCCUGGAUUAUGAUUUAUGGAAGGAUGGACUCUGGUUUAUGAAAAGUUGAUUAUCAAAUGUUUGAUUUGGAAUUAUUUUAUCAUGGAUAUUGAUUGUGGUUAUGUUCUGUUGUUAUACGUUGACCUGUUAUUGAAUUAUAGAAUUGGAUUAUUGUUUUUAUAUAAACCUGUGGACCAGAUUCGUGGUCAUGUUAGGCCAAUGAGUGCCUUGGAUCCAGUGAUAGAGCAUGGCGGGGCCUGCUCGGGGUUAGUGCGGAACUGAUCAGCUGCCUAACCUUGGUUUUAAUUAAAAUGUAAUAGUCCAAUUCAAUAAUUCUUUGGAAAGAUUGAAUUUCUCAGUUUAAAUGAUGCAAGGUAUUGUAAAUCAUUCUAUACAAUACCAUGAACUCAUGAACUCAGGUUGAAUUCUCUUAUAUCUUGAACUCGUGAACUUCUGUUAUAUCAUUUCAGAACUAUCAUUGUUUAUUAUUACUUGCUGAGCAUUGUUGCUCACCCUUGCUAUUCCUUUCUAACCAUUUCAGAAAGGCUGAAAGAUAAGAUGAUUGAUUGAGAUUGUGGAUAAGGCUAAUGCUAGGCGAGGAGACAGAGUUGAGGAUCCAGUGGUCGAGGAGUAUUCAGGAAAGUUGAUAAGGUUGGUGCUAGCUAGAGUUAUGCUAUGAAGUUUCAGAUGUAAGUCAUGGCUGGAGUAAGUUGACAGUGAUUCUUCUUAUCGAAGAUGAUCUGAUUUGGUAAGGGAUGUUGUGUAGUAUUAGUGGUGGAUUCUAAUUUCAAUACUGUAACCUGGAAGCGAUCCUGUUGUUUUUGGGGGUUAAAAUGUUCUCUUUCGAAUCAGCUAUUAAAGUUUAAAUGUUCUCUGAAAAGUUCUUUUA